AGUGAACGCUGGCGGUAGGCCUAACACAUGCAAGUCGAACGGCAGCACAGUAAGAUCUUGCUCUUACGGGUGGCGAGUGGCGGACGGGUGAGGAAUACAUCGGAAUCUACUUUUUCGUGGGGGAUAACGUAGGGAAACUUACGCUAAUACCGCAUACGACCUACGGGUGAAAGCAGGGGAUCUUCGGACCUUGCGCGACUGAAUGAGCCGAUGUCGGAUUAGCUAGUUGGCGGGGUAAAGGCCCACCAAGGCGACGAUCCGUAGCUGGUCUGAGAGGGUGAUCGGCCACACUGGAGCGGGGACACGGUCCAGACUCCUACGGGAGGCAGCAGUGGGGAAUAUUGGACAAUGGGCGCAAGCCUGAUCCAGCCAUACCGCGUGGGUGAAGAAGGCCUUCGGGUUGUAAAGCCCUUUUGUUGGGAAAGAAAAGCAGCAGGUUAAUACCCCGCUGUUCUGACGGUACCCAAAGAAUAAGCACCGGCUAACUUCGUG
rnacentral:rRNA from 1 species